rnacentral:rRNA from 1 species
GAUGAACGCUGGCAGAAUGCUUAACACAUGCAAGUCUUUGGCGAAGCUGUGCUUGCACAGCCUAGCCAAGGCGGACGGGUGAGUAACGCGUAAGGAACUUGCCCUGCAGUCAGGGAUAACAGACGGAAACGACUGAUAAGACCUGGUAAAGUCAGGCGGACUCAUGUCCAGCCUGAUGAAAAGAGAUGCUGCAGGAGAGCCUUGCGUCCUAUUAGCUUGUUGGUGGGGUAACGGCCCACCAAGGCGAUGAUAGGUAGCCGGCCUGAGAGGGUGGAGGGCCACAAGGGGACUGAGAUACGGCCCUUACUCCUACGGGAGGCAGCAGUGGGGAAUAUUGGACAAUGGGGGCAACCCUGAUCCAGCAAUUCUGUGUGCACGAUGAAGGUUUUCGGAUGGUAAAGUGCUUUCAGCAGGGAAGAAAAAAUGACGGUACCUGCAGAAGAAGCGACGGCUAAAUACGUG